rnacentral:rRNA from 1 species
UCAUGCGAGGUGCUGCAUGGUUGUCGUCAGCUCGUGCCGUGAGGUGUUAGGUUAAGUCCUGUAACGAGCGCAACCCCUAUACUUAGUUACCAGCACGUAAUGGUGGGGGACGUCUAGGUAAACUGCCUGCGCAAGCAGAGAGGAAGGUGGGGAUGACGUCAAAUCAGCACGGCCCUUACGUCCAGGGCCACACACGUGCUACAAUGGCCGAUACAGAGGGCAGCUACCUGGUGACAGGAUGCAAAUCUCGAAAGUCGGUCUCAGUUCGGAUCGGAGUCUGCAACUCGACUCCGUGAAGUUGGAUUCGCUAGUAAUCGCGCAUCAGCCAUGGCGCGGUGAAUACGUUCCCGGGCCUU